rnacentral:lncRNA from 1 species
CCAAAAUAAUUAAUUAAAAAACUAAAAAUAUCAUAACAAGGGUUCAUCUCAUCCUAACAAUGUAUAAAAUUAGCCUAACAUAUUGAAACUACAAGAAAUCAUAUAUAAGUGGAAAAACAUAACCAAUAUUUUUAAUAAAUUGAGAAGAUGAAGAUGAAUCUUGAAAUCUUGAACCUCUUCAAUGGUUUCUUAAUGAGUCUUUACUUGCGCUCUCUCUUCUCUGUCAAAUAUCAAGUUUGAAUCUUCACUUGAUUAAAUUCUUGCAAGUCCCAUUCAAUUCUCUCAUAAAAACAAUGAAUUUUCCUCAUUUGAUGAUGAUAAUUGAUGAAUAUUAGAGUAUAUUGUAUAUAAGAGAU